ACAAGUGACCACCAAAUACUCACCUUAUUACCUAAUGUUUGGCAGAGAGGCUCGCUAUCCUUCCGAAAUCCCAGAAGAGUUCAUGGUUGAUGAGAGUGUGGAAGACAUUGUGGGGCAGGAGGAGCUGUCGGAAGACAUUCAAAAGCAUCAAAAGCUGUUGGAACUGGUGAAGGACAAUGUGGUCAAAGCUCAG